AGGGUAACAGCUAUAAAAUGCACACAGAGGUGUGUAUUUGCGUUUCUUUUCUGACCGACUGCUUAAUAACGUAACGUUCAACACAGCAAGGUGGCGCACAAUAUGACGUCACUCCACGUAUAAGUUAGGCGACUAUAAACGCUGCUCGCGAUUGGUUACACUCGCUGUCUCACUGUCCAAUCAGAGAAGCAAUAGAAUCUUGAUAUUUUGGGGAGUUUUGCGCACUGCAUUAUUGUACGUGGGUUAAAAGGUAUCGCAGCACAGGUUAAUGAACUGUUUCAGUAAGUGGCUAAGGUCUGAUUUCAGAGUGUAAAAGUACUUUUUGUACUGAUUUGACAGACUAUAUGCUAUGUCUGGACACGGGCAUGGACAUGGGCAUGGGCAUGGGCACGGGUGUUGUGAGGAUGAUCAUGAACCUGCUGAACGCGGUGUGGAGUAUGGACUGUACCGACGCAUCGACAUCGACAAGCUGCAGUGUCUCAAUGAGAGCCGAGAUGGAGACGGCAAACUGGUGUUCAAACCGUGGGAUCAGCGCACAGACAGAGAAAAGUUUGUAGAGAGCGACGCUGAUGAGGAACUCCUGUUCAAUAUCCCGUUUACUGGAAGUGUAAAGCUGAAAGGAAUUAUACUUUCUGGAGAGGAUGAUGAGUCUCAUCCAGCUGAAAUAAGGCUAUACAAGAACAUCCCGCAAAUGUCAUUUGAUGAUAUAAGCAGAGAGCCAGAGCAAGCAUUUCGUAUAAACAGGGAUCCACUGGCUGAACUUGAGUAUCCGACUAAGAUUGCACGCUUUUCUAACGUCCAACACUUGUCUAUUCAUAUUCCUCGAAACUUUGGGGCUGAUUCUACUCGUGUCUACUACAUUGGACUUCGGGGAGAAUAUACUGAGGUAUUCACUGGGGUCUAGGCGAUGCCUUAAGGAAGAAAGAAGGAAGAAUCAGUGAUAGGUUUUGGUGCUUACAUCCAAAAAUAUACCAAAGCCAAAUAUUCCAAGCUCACAGACAUGAGGUGACAAUCUGUAACUAUGAGGCAGCAGCAAAUCCAGCAGAUCAUAAACUGGAAGCCAUUACUCCGCAGACACACUUCAUUUCAUGACGAAUCAUGUAAGAUUGAUUUGUCCAUGUUGAGAGAGAAUAGGUGUGGAUGAAUUUUGAUAAUACUGAGAGAUUAAUUCUAUCACAAAUAUACAUUAGGAGUAGGAAUGGUGAUUGCUCAUGGAGGUUUGUUCAGUUGAAACUUUUUGUGUGCCAAUAAAUAUUCAGA